GACGAACGCUGGCGGCGCGCCUAACACAUGCAAGUCGAACGAGCGAGAGAGAGCUUGCUUUCUCGAGCGAGUGGCGAACGGGUGAGUAACGCGUGAGGAACCUGCCUCAAAGAGGGGGACAACAGUUGGAAACGACUGCUAAUACCGCAUAAGCCCACAGCUCGGCAUCGAGCAGAGGGAAAAGGAGCAAUCCGCUUUGAGAUGGCCUCGCGUCCGAUUAGCUAGUUGGUGAGGUAAUGGCCCACCAAGGCGACGAUCGGUAGCCGGACUGAGAGGUUGAACGGCCACAUUGGGACUGAGACACGGCCCAGACUCCUACGGGAGGCAGCAGUGGGGAAUAUUGCACAAUGGGGGAAACCCUGAUGCAGCGACGCCGCGUGGAGGAAGAAGGUCUUCGGAUUGUAAACUCCUGUUGUUGAGGAAGAUAAUGACGGUACUCAACAAGGAAGUGACGGCUAACUACGUGCCAGCAGCCGCGGUAAAACGUAGGUCACAAGCGUUGUCCGGAAUUACUGGGUGUAAAGGGAGCGCAGGCGGGAAGACAAGUUGGAAGUGAAAUCCAUGGGCUCAACCCAUGAACUGCUUUCAAAACUGUUUUUCUUGAGUAGUGCAGAGGUAGGCGGAAUUCCCGGUGUAGCGGUGGAAUGCGUAGAUAUCGGGAGGAACACCAGUGGCGAAGGCGGCCUACUGGGCACCAACUGACGCUGAGGCUCGAAAGUGUGGGUAGCAAACAGGAUUAGAUACCCUGGUAGUCCACACUGUAAACGAUGAUUACUAGGUGUUGGAGGAUUGACCCCUUCAGUGCCGCAGUUAACACAAUAAGUAAUCCACCUGGGGAGUACGACCGCAAGGUUGAAACUCAAAGGAAUUGACGGGGGCCCGCACAAGCAGUGGAGUAUGUGGUUUAAUUCGACGCAACGCGAAGAACCUUACCAAGUCUUGACAUCCUGCGACGCACAUAGAAAUAUGUGUUUCCUUCGGGACGCAGAGACAGGUGGUGCAUGGUUGUCGUCAGCUCGUGUCGUGAGAUGUUGGGUUAAGUCCCGCAACGAGCGCAACCCUUAUGGUCAGUUACUACGCAAGAGGACUCUGGCCAGACUGCCGUUGACAAAACGGAGGAAGGUGGGGAUGACGUCAAAUCAUCAUGCCCUUUAUGACUUGGGCUACACACGUACUACAAUGGCGUUAAACAAAGAGAAGCAAGACCGCGAGGUGGAGCAAAACUCAGAAACAACGUCCCAGUUCGGACUGCAGGCUGCAACUCGCCUGCACGAAGUCGGAAUUGCUAGUAAUCGCAGAUCAGCAUGCUGCGGUGAAUACGUUCCCGGGCCUUGCACU
rnacentral:rRNA from 1 species